CGACGACGACGGAACUGAAGGCCGUCGCUCCAAGAACUGAAGGCGACGAUCCUGGUCUCUGCUCGCCCUUCCAUCGAGAGCAGAGACCGUCGCUCGCUCGAGGAAGCUCAAGGUCUCUGCUCGCCCUUCGAUCGAGAGCAGAGACCGAAGUUUCGUGGGUCGAAGUUUCAAAUCAAUUUCCGGACACCCUUCUACGUAUUGGGCUGACAAAGUUGGUCUUGCAAAGUUGUUUUCUGGGUAUGAGUUCCUUUUCUGGGUAGAGCAAGGUGUUCCCUCGAAACCCUCUUGCCUUCUGGCGCUUUCUACUCGCGCGCGCCGGGAUGUUUUUUCGAUCAUGGUCCGUUUCGGAGCUGUUUUUCACGAAUUUGGGUGGGUGUUGUGCAGGAGUGCCUCAUCAUCUUUUGGGCACCAUGAGCCCGAACGUGGAGUUCACGGCCAAGGCGUUUAGGGACCCUGCUGUUCCUGUGGGUUCGCCUUCCUUAAACCGACGGUGACAUGUUGAAUUUGAUUAACUUUGUUUUGAUGAGAUUGAAACUUUUGUGUUUUUCCCGAACUUCAGCUCAUUGAUGAGAUCUUGUCUCGGAAUAACUUGCCAGUCAUAGUUGGGGGUACAAAUUACUAUAUCCAGGUAGAGUAUGCGGCACUUCUUUUUCAUUUUCUUGAAUAGCUUGCGGCUUUUUCUCUGUGUUCGCACUUUGCAGUAGUUACUCUGUGAAUUCACUAACGGGGGCUGUAGUGUUAAUUCAAUCACACCUCAUGCUCUAAAUUCACGCAAGAUUGUAACGAUGAGUUCGCUUAACUUCUGUCACUUUAAAGUCCAUCCCUUGUCAGAGUCAACUUGUGAAUUUUAGUUUCCUGACUAAAUGUGAGUGACUCAGCUUCUGGACUAUGAGAUUAUUUAGUUGACAA